GUUGAAUUACUUGCAGUGUCAAAGGUACAUGAGCAGAUAGUGAGCAUGACUCAUUAUGAUCAUUUAUAAAAGUUAGAAAGAAAAGUGAAUACAUAAUUUACAAAUAGAAGAAAAAAACAUUUUUUGCAAAAUAAUUUCGAUUCUUUAGAAGACGCAUUACUUAAGUUCUCCAAUGCUAGAGUUCCCAAUUACUCGAACUUGUCCAGACCCUGAAACAAUCUGGAACACAAAAUCUUAAUUAUUCCAAGUGUUGAAGCUAGAUGAGCAAGAAUAUGAACUUUUUAUUCCGUUGUACUUGUUUGAAGCAAUUGGAACACAAAUUUCUCUUGUAAAGCUUGCAGAUCUACCUGAAGAUUAAUAUGGGUAACAAGGAAGAAAUUAGUUUUGCACCUCAUUGUCUCAUGAUAUUCAGCAAAAGAAUAACUUGAAACAUUGUUUUAAAUAAAAGAAUAAUAUGAACUUUUGAGAAAACAUCAGUUUCGAUGCCAUUGUAACUUGUAAAGUACUUCCAGACGUAGAUGCCUGUGUUAACUGAUUCCCUGUAGUGCAAUGAAAAAAAAUACUUAGUGCAUGCAUCAUAGUGUGUGCCAAAAUAGUAAAAAAAAUUGAAAGAAGAACUGUGUGUAAGCAAAGAGCUCUCUACUAUGAUGGGAGAGAAAAAACCUUGUUUCCAACUUUGUCACUUUCAUGUGCCUUAUUCCAAAACUCUGAAUGUUGAAGAAAGGGCAAUGUGGAUAGCUUGCAAUGAAAAGCAUCUUGAAAUUGUAAGACACUGCUGAAAUUUGUGUUAGAAUUUUGUCUGAAUCUCUCUCAGGAUCGAGAAUGUCAAAGCUCAUAUCAAUGAAAUUCGCAACAACAAGAAACUAAUAGGUAGGUCCUUUGGGUUUGUUGUGCACUGGGAAAGGGCUAUGCACCUGUUUUGGAGAAAAUGAUAAGGUACUGUGACAUUGAAGUAAAAAAUAAGUUGCAGAGAAUAUAUUUUUUGUUCCUUUCGGAAAGAAAGCUUACCAGUCCAGCUCUCUCUAGCCUAUAUCCAACACUGACCUCUGAGAAAAAUGUUUUAUGUUGAGAGUGAUCCAAAUGUGGAUUCAUCAGAAGCAUCUGUACAUGUUUUAAAAAUCUCACAAAAACUGAUUGUAUUGAGUACCUAUCAAUACAACUAAAUGAAGAAAAAAGUGAAGUUCAGACGCUUAACUUGCAAUAAUGUCUGAAUACAUAACGUGUGUCAAAACUUCAUUUGGUAAGCCUCCGCCAUUCUUCUGUCGCAUGUA
rnacentral:lncRNA from 1 species